AAUAGAUACCCAGGUAGUCCACGCCGUAAACGAUGUCGACUUGGAGGUUGUUCCCUUGAGGAGUGGCUUCCGGAGCUAACGCGUUAAGUCGACCGCCUGGGGAGUACGGCCGCAAGGUUAAAACUCAAAUGAAUUGACGGGGGCCCGCACAAGCGGUGGAGCAUGUGGUUUAAUUCGAUGCAACGCGAAGAACCUUACCUACUCUUGACAUCCACGGAACUUUUCAGAGAUGAAUUGGUGCCUUCGGGAACCGUGAGACAGGUGCUGCAUGGCUGUCGUCAGCUCGUGUUGUGAAAUGUUGGGUUAAGUCCCGCAACGAGCGCAACCCUUAUCCUUUGUUGCCAGCGGUUCGGCCGGGAACUCAAAGGAGACUGCCAGUGAUAAACUGGAGGAAGGUGGGGAUGACGUCAAGUCAUCAUGGCCCUUACGAGUAGGGCUACACACGUGCUACAAUGGCGCAUACAAAAGAGAAGCGACCUCGCGAGAGCAAGCGGACCUCAUAAAGUGCGUCGUAGUCCGGAUUGGAGU
rnacentral:rRNA from 1 species